CUCUCUUUUAGCAACCACCCACCAAAUUGAUCUUUCGUCUAUUGAUUCGGCCACUGCUCUCCAAUCCUCGUUUACAGCAUUCCGAUCUCGUCCAUCCCAGGAAACCGCAAUCCCCAUUCACGAGUGCUCUUUCAUCGCCAUUCGAAACCUCCGUGUCAUAGGAACACCAAAUUGGGUUUUCAGCAAGUUUUAUUAUUGAUAUUACUUAAGAUAUUUGGCGUGAUUUCUGAUGAAUGGUAUGAUUGAUGUCAUGAUUUCGUAGUGAGAACAGACAAUUUGGAGUGGACAAACUCAAUUCCCGAACUCGAGCACUAAUAACUUCAAUUUGGUGAAACAAGAGCCAAUCGAUUCAGAUUUGACUCAUAAUUGGUCAUUAAAUUUGUUACAUCCGUUUACUUCACGUUCAAGUGGUAUAACACAAAAAGCUGUUAUUGCGGCAUUAGGAAUGGGACACACUGGUGGGGAAACCAUAUCGCAUUUGGUCAAAGCAUUUCGUUAACGGCGAGAAUUUUUGGUUUCAACUAUCCGGGAAUUGGAUGGUGUCAAAAUAUCUAAACCCUAAGUUUGUGAGACUCUAAGGUGCAACCAAGAGGCUAAGGCCACUGUCAUCUACCCUUCCCCACUGGAGGAGGUAAUUUGUGUGUAUGCGUUUAGUAUUAAGGGGUGUUUGGAUGCGGGUUUAAAUCUGAUUACAUGAUAUUAUUGUUAAAUAAUUAGAAUAGGUAAUCACUUGGAAUUGCAAGUCAUAAAAGAUGUUUUUAGUGUCAAUGUUUUCAGAAACAUAUGUUUUAAUAUUCUUGAAGUACUUCUUUUUUAUGUUAAUAUUUUAUUCAUUGCUGUUAUUGUUGCAUCUUUUCAAGGCAAUGGAAAAGUGGUUUUUA
rnacentral:lncRNA from 1 species